UAUCAACUAUUUCAAGUAAAA
rnacentral:piRNA from 1 species